CGCCCCCCUUUACAAUCAGGCGCAGACGUCUCCGCCCAGCGUGAUAUAAUGGCCGCGACGAAGACGCUCAGUUGUCCCUGUGAGCUGUUGCAGGUUCCAUUAGGCCUCUGACUGAAGACUAAACUAUGAGGGAGAAGGCCUUCUUGGGUGAUAGCACUGAGACAAUCAAGGUCACCUCCUGUCUGACAGCUUCUGGUCGAGGCGCACAGGUAGGUCUUGUACACACAGACCAAUGACCAGUGAACAUUUUCGCAUGAAAAACAUGCAAAUACCAACAAAAACUUGUACAUCUCUAUGAGCACUCAGCUGUCUGUUAGUUG